rnacentral:rRNA from 1 species
UGGGGAAUAUUGGGCAAUGGGCGAAAGCCUUACCCAGCAAUGCCGCGUGAGUGAAGAAGGUCUUCGGAUUGUAAAGCUCUUUGAUCAGGGACGAACACAAUGACGGUACCUGAAGAACAAGCCCCGGCUAACUACGUGCCAGCAGCCGCGGUAAUACGUAGGGGGCAAGCGUUGUCCGGAAUGACUGGGCGUAAAGGGUGUGUAGGCGGGCUCGCAAGUUGGAUGUGUAAUACCCAGAGCUUAACUCGGGUGCUGCAUCUGAAACUACGAGUCUUGAGUGUCGGAGAGGUAAGUGGAAUUCCUAGUGUAGCGGUGGAAUGCGUAGAUAU